rnacentral:rRNA from 1 species
UGGUGGAGUGAUUUGUCUGGUUAAUUCCGUUAACGAACGAGACCUCGACCUGUUAAAUAGUUCAACGAUGGUCCGCCAUCGGUUGUGACUUCUUAGAGGGACUAUCGGUUUGUAGCCGAAGGAAGUUCGAGGCAAUAACA